AGCAGCCGCGGUAAUUCCAGCUCCAAUAGCGUAUAUUAAAGUUGCUGCAGUUAAAAAGCUCGUAGUUGAAUUUCGGGAUCAAUUUGCUGGUCGUGCCUACGGUACGUACUAGUUUUGUUGAUUCCUCCUUUCUGAGGAGCCGCGAUGUCAUUAAUUUGGUGUCGAGAGGAAUCGGGACUGUUACUUUGAAAAAAUUAGAGUGUUUAAAGCAGGCUAACGCUUGAAUACAUUAGCAUGGAAUAAUGAAAUAGGACGAUUGAUCCUAUUUUGUUGGUUUCUAGGAUCGACGUAAUGAUUAAUAGGGAUAGUUGGGGGCAUUAGUAUUCAAUUGUCAGAGGUGAAAUUCUUGGAUUUAUUGAAGAUUAACUACUGCGAAAGCAUUUGCCAAGGAUGUUUUCAUUAAUCAAGAACGAAAGUUAGGGGAUCGAAGACGAUCAGAUACCGUCGUAG
rnacentral:rRNA from 1 species